CCUGAUCAGCCAUGUCCGCGUGAGUGAAGAGGCCUUCGGGUUGUAAACCGCUUUUAGUCGGGAAGAAAAGGCCCGGGCUAACACCUCUUGUUCUUGACGGUACCGGCGGAAUAAGCACCGGCUAACUACGUGCCAGCAGCCGCGGUAAUACGUAGGGUGCGAGCGUUAAUCGGAAUUACUGGGCGUAAAGCGUGCGCAGGCGGUUCGUUAAGUUCGAUGUGAAAGCCCCGGGCUCAACCUGGGAACUGCAUUGGAAACUGGCGAGCUUGAGUGUGGCAGAGGGGGGUGGAAUUCCGCGUGUAGCAGUGAAAUGCGUAGAGAUGCGGAGGAACACCGAUGGCGAAGGCAGCCCCCUGGGCCAACACUGACGCUCAGGCACGAAAGCGUGGGGAGCAAACAGGAUUAGAUACCCUGGUAGUCCACGCCCUAAACGAUGCUCACUAGGUGUUGGGGAAGCGAUUCCUUGGUACCGUAGCUAACGCGUGAAGUGAGCCGCCUGGGGAGUACGGCCGCAAGGUUAAAACUCAAAGGAAUUGACGG
rnacentral:rRNA from 1 species